rnacentral:rRNA from 1 species
AGUAACACGUGGGCAACCUGCCCUUUGGAUGGGGGAUAACUCGCCGAAAGGCGAGCUAAUACCGCAUGAUAUUCAGAAGACUUCGGUUUUUUGACUCAAAGCCCGCAAGGGCGUCUAAGGAGGGGCCCGCGCCCGAUUAGCUAGUUGGUGAGGUAACGGCUCACCAAGGCAUUGAUCGGUAGCCGGUCUGAGAGGAUGGCCGGCCACACUGGAACUGAGACACGGUCCAG